rnacentral:rRNA from 1 species
ACGGAAGGCAGCAGUGAGGAAUAUUGGUCAAUGGACGGAAGUCUGAACCAGCCAAGUCGCGUGAAGGAUGAAGGUUCUAUGGAUUGUAAACUUCUUUUGUCUGAGGGUAAAGGUAGGUACGUGUACCUAUUUGCAGGUAUCAGACGAAUAAGCAUCGGCUAACUCCGUGCCAGCAGCCGCGGUAAUACGGAGGAUGCGAGCGUUAUCCGGAUUUAUUGGGUUUAAAGGGUGCGUAGGCGGAAUGUUAAGUCAGUGGUAAAAGCGUGUGGCUCAACCAUACCAAGCCAUUGAUACUGGCGUUCUUGAGUGUAAACGAGGUAGGCGGAAUAUGACGUGUAGCGGUGAAAUGCUUAGAUAUGUCAUAGAACCCCGAUUGCGAAGGCAGCUUACCAGCAUACAACUGACGCUGAGGCACGAAAGCGUGGGUAUCAAACAGGAUUAGAUACCCUGGUA